rnacentral:rRNA from 1 species
UNUGAUCCUGCCUCAGGAUGAACGCUAGCGGGAGGCCUAACACAUGCAAGCUGCGAGCGNGAGAGUUCNUUCGGGGACUUGAGAGCGGCGUACGGGUGCGGAACACGUGUGCAACCUGCCUUUAUCAGGGGGAUAGCCUUUCGAAAGGAAGAUUAAUACCCCAUAAUAUAAUUGAUGGCAUCAUUGAUUAUUGAAAACUCCGGUGGAUAAAGAUGGGCACGCGCAAGAUUAGAUAGUUGGUGAGGUAACGGCUCACCAAGUCGAUGAUCUUUAGGGGGCCUGAGAGGGUGAUCCCCCACACUGGUACUGAGACACGGACCAGACUCCUACGGGAGGCAGCAGUGAGGAAUAUUGGACAAUGGGUUAGCGCCUGAUCCAGCCAUCCCGCGUGAAGGACGACGGCCCUAUGGGUUGUAAACUUCUUUUGUACAGGGAUAAACCUUUCCACGUGUGGAAAGCUGAAGGUACUGUACGAAUAAGCACCGGCUAACUCCGUGCCAGCACCGCCGCGGUAAUAAGAAGGGGGCAAGCGUUAUCCGGAUUUAUUGGGUUUAAAGGGUCCGUAGGCGGAUCUGUAAGUCAGUGGUGAAAUCUCNCCAGCUUAACUGUGAAACUGCCAUUGAUACUGCAGGUCUUGAGUAAGGUAGAAGUGGCUGGAAUAAGUAGUGUAGCGGUGAAAUGCAUAGAUAUUACUUAGAACACCAAUUGCGA